UUUUUCUUUUCUUUCUUUUUUUUUUCUUUUGGUGUAACAGUAUCGCAUGAGCCAAGACUGUCAUGAAACUAUUUGGAUACUGUACUCUGGUUCCUUCAUCUCCUCCAUCUGCAUCAGCCUAAAUUGUCCUAGAGCCUCUGCCAUGAACCCGGGGAUAAGUGAGGAAAGAAAUUUUUCCUCCUUCACAGUAUCAAGUGCCAGGCCAGGGCACUUUGUCCAGGCCUCACUGUGAAGAAAGAGUAAUGUUCAAGGAUGGCAGCAGGAAGGACCCUAAUGAAGAGGUUUAUCUGAUUGGUUUACUGGAGUCCUAUGUGGGAUGAAUAGCUUCAGCCUUUGCGCUUGCACCUCUUUGCUGUCCACUCCAAUCAAGAACGGGGGCCCUCGCAACUCUCUCAGUUCUGAAACAAAUUAAAUCUCAGUGACAGACUC
rnacentral:lncRNA from 1 species